ensembl:snoRNA Gm26090 predicted gene, 26090
ACCUCUGUUUCUCUUUUCCAUUGGCUCUUGAUGCUGAGCUUGCUGGGUGCAAUGAAAGAAGCGUACACGGAAGCUGGCCUCACAAUGGUACAGUCUACUCUCCAGCAUAGUGCCAGACUCAAGCAAGC